GUGCUCCUUCGGCAGCACAUGUGCUGAAAUUGGAACGAUACAGAGAAGAUGAGCGUGGCCCCUGCCAAGGAUGACACGCAAAUUCGUGAAGCGUUUCGUAUUUAA
rnacentral:snRNA from 1 species